AGAGUUUGAUCCUGGCUCAGAUUGAACGCUGGCGGCAGGCUUAACACAUGCAAGUCGAGCGGGGAAGGGUAGCUUGCUACCUGACCUAGCGGCGGACGGGUGAGUAAUGCUUAGGAAUCUGCCUAUUAGUGGGGGACAACAUUCCGAAAGGAAUGCUAAUACCGCAUACGCCCUACGGGGGAAAGCAGGGGAUCUUCGGACCUUGCGCUAAUAGAUGAGCCUAAGUCAGAUUAGCUAGUUGGUGGGGUAAAGGCCUACCAAGGCGACGAUCUGUAGCGGGUCUGAGAGGAUGAUCCGCCACGCUGGGACUGAGACACGGCCCAGACUCCUACGGGAGGCAGCAGUGGGGAAUAUUGGACAAUGGGCGAAAGCCUGAUCCAGCCAUGCCGCGUGUGUGAAGAAGGCCUUUUGGUUGUAAAGCACUUUAAGCGAGGAGGAGGCUACUUGGAUUAAUACUCUAGGAUAGUGGACGUUACUCGCAGAAUAAGCACCGGCUAACUCUGUGCCAGCAGCCGCGGUAAUACAGAGGGUGCGAGCGUUAAUCGGAUUUACUGGGCGUAAAGCGUGCGUAGGCGGCUUUUUAAGUCGGAUGUGAAAUCCCUGAGCUUAACUUAGGAAUUGCAUUCGAUACUGGGAAGCUAGAGUAUGGGAGAGGAUGGUAGAAUUCCAGGUGUAGCGGUGAAAUGCGUAGAGAUCUGGAGGAAUACCGAUGGCGAAAGCAGCCAUCUGGCCUAAUACUGACGCUGAGGUACGAAAGCAUGGGGAGCAAACAGGAUUAGAUACCCUGUAGUCCAUGCCGUAAACGAUGUCUACUAGCCGUUGGGGCCUUUGAGGCUUUAGUGCGCAGCUAACGCGAUAAGUAGACCGCCUGGGGAGUACGGUCGCAAGACUAAAACUCAAA
rnacentral:rRNA from 1 species